rnacentral:misc_RNA from 1 species
GAAAUGCGAUAAGUAAUGUGAAUUGCAGAAUUCAGUGAAUCAUCGAAUCUUUGAACGCACAUUGCGCCCCGUGGUAUUCCGCGGGGCAUGCCUGUUCGAGCGUCAGUACAACACUCAAGCUCUGCUUGGUAUUGGACCACAUCAGUUCUGAUCGGUCUUAAAAUCAGUGGCGGUGCCAUCGUGCUCUAAGCGUAGUAAUACUCCUCUCGCUACAGGGUCUCGGUGCGUGCUUGCCAGCAACCCCCAACUUUCUAAGUUUGACCUCGGAUCAGGUAGGGAUACCCGCUGAACUUAA